GAGCUGGUUUAGCUCAGUGGUUACUUCUCGGCAAUUUCAAGCUUUACUCUCGCAAGAGGGAUCGAACCACGGGCGCUGUCCAGCUUUUUU
rnacentral:vault_RNA from 1 species